UAUUUAAGUGGGAAAUGGGAGCCGAGAGAGUGUCGAGAAAAAACGCUGAGUCUGGUAGUGAGUGACUCCUCUGUGAGUCUGUUGUGAGCGGCCGGCUACGCAGAGUGUAAACAGCUGCGUCGCCGCCGGUGGGGGGCGGUGGCGCAGUAACCCCUGCGUCACGAUGACCUGCCGUCCUUGCCAGCAACGUCUAGUCGCUAAGCCACGCACGCUCGACGCGUGCCUCCUCGUACUCACGAUCCCAACAAGGCCUCACUCGUGUACAUAGCAAGUCCCUAUGAGCGUUUACAGGCUGAAAAUUCAUCAAGACUACUGAGCCGGCUGUUGUGACCGAGCGGUUCUAGGCGCUUAAGGUCCGGAACCGCGCUGCUGCUAAGGUUGCAGGGGACGGUGUCCAUUCAAGAUGUACAUUUCUUCGAAACCUGGAAAGUAUGGGAUAAAAGUGUGGACUGCUGUAGAUUGUGAGACCAAUAUGUUAUAAAUGCACAAGUUUAGAUAGGGAAAUUUGCUGAAUGAAGGGAAAUAAAUAAAAUAAAAAAAAAAAACAAAUGUUACAUGAUUUAGUUGAUCACCUGAAGGGAAGGGGUAGAAACAUUACCACUGAUAACUUUUUUUACAAGUUUUGAUUUGGGACAAGAACUUCUUGCUCAUAAAUUGACACUUAUGGGAACUCUUUGGGCCAACUGAAAAGAGAUACCAAAAGAAAUGUUGCUGUCAAAACAGAGGCGUCCAUUAUCGACCACUUUUGGGUAUGCACAGAAUACUGCUUUAGCUUUGUAUGUUCCUACACAAAAUAAAUCAGCCACUUCGUUGCCUACUCUACACCAAACAUUUGAUGAAGUGAGCAUGAGCACAAAAAACCUGACAUAAUAAUAUUCUACAACUCAACAAAGUCAGGAGUUGAUACAGUUGAUAAGAUGGCUAGACAGUAUUCAGUGAAAUGUGGAACAAAAAGGUGGCCGCUUGCUGUAUUUUUUGAUAUACUAGAUUUAGCUUGUCUCAAUGCUUAUGUUCUGUAUUGUAAAUUUUUACGUGAUAUGAAAAGUAAAAAUUCAAUAAGAGAAUUCUUCUCAGAACUAGGAAAAGAACUACUCAAACCUUAAAUUGAAUGACGAAUCCUGUCAUCCCAGUUCAGAACACAACCCAUUCGUUCAGCAAUAAUAUCUGCAGACUUCAAAGAUCUUCGGAAGGAAAAAUAACUCCAUAACCAGGAAUCUGAUGUUCCAAACCUGAAAAGAAAACGGUGUGAGUCCUGCCCAAGGUCAAAGGACAGGAAAGUGAAUCAACAAUGUGACUGGUGUCACAAGUUUGCCUGUAAAGAACACGCUAGGAUAAGUGUGUUGUGUAAUGAUUGUUGAUCAUAUGACAAGGAGAGCAAGUAGGAGUGCAUUUCUAAUAAAAUUCCAUGUAAGUGAUAUUACACAUAACAUUAAUAAUCAAUUACAGUAUUGUUACAUAGUGUGUGGGUUAUUAAUAUUUUGUGUUAAAAUAAUUUUUGGA